UAGUGGGAAGCGUCAAAAAGAAGACGAGGCAGGCCUCAGACCAGUGCGAGCCCACCCUCAUUCCCCUCCUUCUCUCUGGAUCUCUGAGGAGCUGCAAAAAGUAACGACAGGUGAGAUUUCUGCCAAUGUCAUCACCUCCUCCUGUCUCUCUGAAUCCUUCACACCUCACUGUGUCCCCAACUGAAGAAAAUGUCACUGUCGAGCUCUGUCUACUAAGUUUCUCCAUUCUUCACUCCCUCUGAAACACAACACGGUCCAGGGCACAGCACGUCAGAGUUUGGGAAGUGUUAUCAGGCAGAGGAAAAAAACUGAACGAGCAGCGAUGGACUGCUGCUCUGCGGGAUCAGAGGACAGAAUGAAACUGAUUUCCAUUAUUACAGGCAGAAUUAUUGCUCCCCCUCUGUACCACUGCAGCUCCACGCCAGGAUUACUAUUUCUGGCAAUGUUUGCCUCAGGAAGGAACUUUCGCAGAUUUAAUGGGACCUGGGCCAUUGUACACAGCCUUCUGUAUGGCACCCUGCCAUCUUUUACAGAGAGCAGAGAGAGAAGGACGUGUUCAAAACAAGAGUGUCACGUUAAUGUGAUCAUUAAUAUUUCCAGUAUAUUCCAAACACUAAACUCUGCCUGUGCUUCACAUGAAGCGCCAUGUACUUUAAUUUGCAUGUCAGGGAUAAAAGUGUGACGGUGACUGUGUUGUCCUGUGAUAUGUCAUGUUGUGUUUUCUUUAUGGAACAUGACACAAUGCAGCUUUUUGCAGUAAAAUUUAAAUCAAAGUAAAAACCUCUUUGUUCCUUUAGCUCAUCUUUGCAAACAUUAAUCAGAGAAGGGUUCAGCAUGGAGUUGAACUAGCAGUGGAGCAAAGGUGCAUGGUAAAUGUCACGUGAAAUGCCUGUAUUUAAAGGUGCACUGAAGAAAUCUGCACAUCUGGAUAAACAUGAAGUACUCAGUAUGACCCAACUGAGAUCUAGCUGCUCUAUUAUUUGCAUUUCCACCCUCAAAAAUUGGGCAGGUACCAAAAUAACUGAUCUGACCAUCCUACUUUUUUGGCAUCCUGCUGCUGGGGUACCUCAAAACAAAGUUUUUUAUAUAGGA